GAGCCCGUUGCUUGCGGCACACAGGUCGUAUCAUAAGGGCACGUAUGCCAUCUAUUACCCAAAAGCAAGGGUGAGCUGUUGCUUGCGGCACACAGGUCACAUCAUACGGGCACGUAUGCCGUGAAUUGUCCAUAAAACAAGGGUGCAGAGCCCGUUGCUUGCGGCGCACAGGCCGUAUCAUAAGAACACGUACGCGGCGCAUUGUCCAUGAAGCAAGGGCGCGGAGCCCGUUGCCUGCGGCACACAGGCCGUAUCAUGAGGGCACGUACGCCGUGAAGUGUCCAUGAAGCAAGGGCGCGGAGCCCGUUGCCUGCGGCGCACAGGCCGUAUUAUGAGGGCACGUACGCCGUAAAUUGUCCAUGUAGCAAGGGCGCGGAGCCCGUUGCUUGCGGCGCACAGGCCGUAUCGUAGGGGCACGUAUGCCGUCCAUUGUCCGUGAAGCAAGGGCGCGGAGCCCGUUGCCUGCGGCACACAGGCCGUAUCAUAAGGGCACGUAUGCCGUCCAUUGUCCAUAAAGCAAGGGCGCGGAGCCCGUUGCUUGCGGCGCACAGGCCGUAUCAUAAGGGCACGUAUGCCGUCCAUUGUCCAUAAAGCAAGGGCGCGGAGCCCAUUGCUUGCGGCACACAGGCCGUAUCAUAAGGGCACGUAUGCCGUCCAUUGUCCAUAAAGCAAGGGCGCGGAGCCCGUUGCUUGCGGCGCACAGGCCGUAUCAUAAGGGCACGUAUGCCGUCCAUUGUCCAUAAAGCAAGGGCGCGGAGCCCAUUGCUUGCGGCACACAGGCCGUAUCAUAAGGGCACGUAUGCCAUCCAUUGUCCAUAAGGCAAGGGCGCAAAGCCCGUUGCUUGCGGCGCACAGGCCGGAUCCCAACGGCACACACGCCCUUUCCCCAAGGGCACGCGGGCCCUGCGGCCUGGAUAGGCAGACAGGAGAAGUACCGCGCCAAAAGCCCUGAGGUCUUGGGGAGGUGGGGGUGGCACGAUGGAAGAUGAAAG
rnacentral:lncRNA from 1 species